rnacentral:rRNA from 1 species
AUUAACGCUAGCGGCGUGCUUAACACAUGCAAGUCGAACGAUUAAAGCUCACUUCGGUGAGUGUAUAGAGUGGCGAACGGGUGAGUAACACGUGGGAAACCUGCCCCUUUCUUCGGGAUAACUUCGGGAAACCGUUGCUAAUACCGGAUACUCCGGGAUGGUCGCAUGGCCGACCCGGGAAAGCUUUAUGUGGAAAGGGAUGGUCCCGCGGCCCAUUAGCUUGUUGGUGGGGUAAUGGCCUACCAAGGCAAUGAUGGGUAGCCG